GGGCAGACUGACCUUCGGCCACUAAAGUGAUCAUAACUUCUUCUACAAAAUAGGUAUUAACGAUCCGUAAAAAGUUCUAGAAAGUAGACUCUUGUAGCUUUCUAUUGAUAUAUAACUCAUUGUCUAGAUCGUUGUGAGCUGAUCACAAUCCUCUGUCGAAGUUAGAUGAUAAUUUCUGGCAAAUCUCAUAAUUCUUUCCUUACACGACAUGAAUUCCUAAUCCUUCAAGAUUUCUCCUCUUUUGCUUCAUAUUCCUUUCUUUGCUCCGAAACACCUAAUAAACAUAAAAAUAACUAAAUCAAAUGGAAAAUACGAUAAACUAAUAAAGUAAAGAGGGGAAUUAACCAUCAUAUCGUCGCAUAAUUAUGCUCCUAUCAUCUUGGAGCCUUCGUGCUCCCCAAAUCACAACAUCUCCCAAUUUAUUUACUCACUUUAAGAAGAAAAACUCACAAUCAACAAUCACAGGUUCAGAGCAAUUAUAUUAGAGGAGAAAAGAACUAGAAAUAUAUAUAUGAGCGGAAACUAUACUAUUGACUAUGCCUAAUCUCCAUGUACCCCUGACCUCAACUAUGUAAUCCUGCAAACUGGGCAUUUUUAAAACGAAUAGCCUAGGGGAAAACAUUUGAAACCGUUAAAAUGAGUGGACAAAAAUAAAUUAAUAAAUAAAUAUUUAUGUAUUCCCAUUUUAAUUUUCCAUAGAAAUUAUGUUGCAUGCAACAGCUCAAAGCUUUCUACUCACAAACUGGCAAAUACAUGACUAGCUCCGGCCAGUCUCUAAAACUCAAUAAAAUGGAUCCUCUCAAGCUAAACUAUAUAUAAAUAUAUAUGUGUAUGUAUUUACACUCGUCAGACUCCUUAUACGAAUUCUAUGAACAAAUUAGAAAAAUAGAAAUUCGUACAAGGCUACUACGGUUGCGUCUAACGCUCACGUCGCGCCAUAAUGGAAUUUUUUCUCAUUAUGACCGAAGAGGACAGGUAUAUAUACGUGUGGACCCCCUAUAUGAAAACCUAUAUGAACAAAAUAAGAAAGUAGUUUUCAUAUAGGGCUAUGACGCUUGUAUCCAACACUCGCGUCGCGCCAUAAUAGAAUUUUACCUUAUUAUGACCGACCAAGCACGUAUGGUUAGCUAGCAUUUAUAUACAUACUAUCCUCAAAAACAUCCAUUAUACAUAUCCAUCGAAAAUCUCAUUUUCGGUAACUCUCCAAAAGAUGAAAAUUGCCAAAUAUCAGAGAAAGCAAUAAAUUUCAGCAGAAGAAUAACUGAUCAACAAUGUAAUGCAUCGCAUGCUUUUAAUUAAAACAAAAGUCCACGUACUCACAACUUUAGGCAUAAGCCCGACGAAAUCCAAUUCGCCACUUAAGUGAGAUCUCCUUGAAUCCUCACACAAUAACCAUGCUUAGGACCAAACUUCAAUUUCAGAAAAAAUAAUACUUAAACAAAUAACCCAAAACUCUUCCGCCUAACCCACUACCCUCUCUAGGGUUAAGCUUAUCGGAUUCACGCCGAACUCCAACCACAGCCUCAUUUCAUUUAUGUCAACAUUCUAAAACAAUACUAAGGGAAAUCCAAUGGUGGGAUUCUACCCCAUUAACCGCCAAAUUCACCAAUCUUUGUAAAAUUCCAAACCUAAUCAAAACUCCUCCAAAAAAUUCCAAACUUUACAACAUUAGACUCCCCUUAAUAUAACAAAUUUAAAUACAUGAAAAUCCCCCUAACAGCGGCAGCCGGAGGCAGACUCCGGCGACCUCCAAUGCCUACCAAAAUUUGACAGCAUCUUCCUCUCAACUCACUCUACAAUUUUCCUAACUAGCACAAACAUCAAUUCCAAGCCUAACUAGGCCAAUCGAACGAAAACAUAGAAUUGAGCCCUAGAACUUCUACUCACCAAUUCUCCUCACCUGAAAGGAAACUGGAUUGAGUCCUUUUAGGGCAAGGCUACUGGGUUAAAGACCUUCAAAAGCAUAUAAGGCUUGCCCGGAUUGGUGGCUGGAGGAGGAAGUUUCGGCGACGGAACACAAUGAACCACCGGAGCUCUCGAGCGCGAUUACUCCCUCACGGCGGCGCUAGAGAGGCUGACACGAGUCCAGGAAGGAGGAGGAGGUGAUGGCCGACCGUUUGGGACCGGGGUGGCCGUCUACGGUGGCCGGACGGCGGCAGACUGCUGCUUUGAAAUUCCGGCAGGGAGAGAGGGAGGGAAUCGGGAGAGAGAGAGAGGAAAAAGAGGGAGAGAGUGUUAGGCAUUUCUCCUCCCAACUGGUCCUAACCCACCAAAUAAAACCAACUCCAAAAAUUAUGUCACAUCCCGACCCUUAUAUUUUUACCUUAUUUACUAGCGUGAUUAUAAUAAGAAUUUUACCGUCUCCGUCAUUGAGUAAAUAGUUUAAUUGGUCCCUAGAGGGGUUUCGGGGACGAUUAUGUGCGGAGGAUUAUUCGUAUGAGGAAAAUACGACGACGGUAAAAAUAGUAAAUUUUAGCUAGUAAAAGGUAAUUUUUAUUCGGGUAUUAUUUUUCGGGGUGUUGAAUUUGGAAUUUUGGGUUAAAAGGAGAGUUGGGUCGGCUGGGCCGAGCCCAACCC
rnacentral:lncRNA from 1 species